rnacentral:lncRNA from 1 species
UUUUUUUUUUUUCUGUUGCUAUUGAACCACAAAACUGCUGACAUUUUACAAUGCACUAAAAGUGAUGCUCUAUAAAGUUUUCCAUGAGAGGAUGGCACAGUAAAAAUGAUUUGUGGUCUAUAUGAUAUUAUUGAUGGGCAUAUUGGCUCUCAGGUAUAUGUGAGGCAAUGAUCCAUUUACAUGUGUUCAAGAAACAUAGAAGACAGUGAAGCCCCCAGACUCAGAUGUUCAUGUAAAUGGACCUUACAGUAGAGUACUUCUCAGAAUCAUAUGCCAGAUUUAUAAGGAGAAGGUUGGUGAUAACUAUAAAACAUUUAAAUGACUAAUAACAUCAACUAAAUAGGCCAGAAAGCCAUGACACUUUAAAAUGAAUAAAUAUAUCAUUCCUAUAGAAAAAUGAGUUUACUCCCUUCUUUUAUUACCUAUGAAUGAUUAAGGCUCAUCUCUUUAUCUCCAUGUGGUUCUCCUUAGGGUUUUCUUUCACUUUACUAGAAUUCUUAAUGCAUUUUAAAGUAUCAAAUUGAAAAUAAAGUAUCUGUUAAUAGUUUUCUCACCCAAAGUUUCUAAGUUUUCAUAAUGCUAUUUUCUGGAAGUACAACAUUAGUUAGGAUCACACUAAUUUCACUUGUUAUCUUGAUGAGUCAUUAAACAUAACACCUAUAUAUAGUUGUUACUCGAUGUAAGUGAACUAAUCAGUAAAUGUAUCUUUUCAGUUUAUUGGCACUUUCUUUGGUUUAGCCAAAAAAAAAAAAAAAAAAAAAAUCUAAAGAAUCUGCUUUCCUAGCUGGUCUUUGUUUUGCAUGGGGUUUCUCAGUAUAUAAUUUCUAAAGGCUCAGGGUAGUUCUAGAGUUUAAAGAUAAAUAUUUUUCUGUAUGAUCAUCAAAUGCUGGACAAUUAUAUAACCUAGUUUUUAUUCAUAAAAACUAAAUUCUCUUCCCCCUUAAUAGGGAAAUCUAAUUGAGAGAGCGUGUUGGUCUCCAAAUGGCAAUUUCUAAGGGAUUUAUAAAGGUUUAUGCAUGACUUUUGGUAGUUGAUAUUUUAGAGCUUACUCCCCACCCCCCAUUCCCAUUGCUUCUGUGUCAGCACUGUAUACAAACCCACAAAGCUGUUUUUCAAAUCCCUGAUGCUAAGAAUCUGACGCUUAAUCUGAAUAUCUUCUGAUCAUCUGGGAUCUUGUUAAAUACAUUGCUUAUCAGACAACAUCCCUAGAAAUUCAGACUGAAUAGGUCUUGGAUUGCACCUUGGAAAUUGUGUUUGAAAAAGCUGCAGGUGGUUGUUGUAGGGCAUGUACCAUUCUCUGAGAAAUGUUGCCUUAGAUUGCUCAAUACUGUGUGUGGUUGUACAAACAUUAAUGCACGCCCAUGAACUCAAGUCUACCAAGUAGUCUGCUACCAUCCAGUGUCCAUAUCCUGGUAUCUCUCUUCUACCUCACACCUGCACCCACACCCCUGCACAGUUUGUCACAAUUUUAUAAAGUUAACUUCCCAGGAGAUCUACAGUAAAUAAAAAUUGUUAUAGGAAAGGUCCUAUAAUUUUCCUCUGGGGUAGGUGACACUUUGCUUUUUAAAAAGGCUGAACUUCCUUUUCUGUGGGAUAGUGGAGCUGGACUGCCCUUAAUAAGUAUGUCUCUUAGGUAUCCCUACCUCCUUCAUUAAAUGCCUCUCUUCCAUCCUACAUUGAUAGUGCCCUGUGUGCGGAGGUUUUCUCCACCACGACACACCCUGAGACCUCUCCGAAUUAUCAUUGCUCUCCCUAGCUUUUCAAAAAAAUGUCCAUGAGAAGCAGAUUGUCUGAAAAGCAGGUUAAUCUGUAAUAUUGUAUAAAUGGGAAUUAGUUAAUAUUGGUGAACCCAAGCAUUAAACCUGUGGCUACACCUUCAUCAACAGCAAGUAAGUUGCAGACAAAGACUGGAAUUUGGAUUCAAUAAUAAACAUAGCUUGCUAACAAUAGUUACCCCAAGAUAGAAACAGUAGCUUUCUUGUGGGAAUGAAACAUAGAUCAAACAUGAUCUGGCUGCCUCUGAAGUUCCUGCUUCACAAGAACAGUUGACUAGAAAACUCUCAAAGGCCCUUCCCCUUCAGGAUCAGGAGAGUCCUGAAGCCAGUGUGCAUCGGAGUGUGCCAGGAGGGCGCCCAACGGGCCAUUUACAAAAUACCCACUAGAGGGAGUAUAACAUCAUGAAUAUUUCCUUCCAGGUGCCUUGUUUCUGGUAAGCAGUAGGGAAAGCAAGACUGAAAUGCAAAUACCUAGAAUUAAUUUCAUGCUCUCUUAACUAUUUUUUCUCAUUGAAAUCUUAUGGAAUAUUCUGAUAAACAAGUAUAUUUUUCUUAAGAAAAUUUAGUGCAGUAUACAGUAAUGGAACAUUAUUAAUACCUUUAUUGUAUGUGUGAAAGUUGAGAAUUUAAAAUCGUGUGGAUAGAACAUCUAGAUCAGUUAUUUGUGCCUAUUGAUAUAAAACAUCUUGAUUCUACAUUUGAGUGUGUUUCACCAAAUUCUGUUAGAUUUUUCCCCCCAGUGGAUAUGAUGCCGCUAUUUACCUGUGAGCCUGCCACUUUCCGUUAUAGCUUUCCCACACAUUUAAGAUACCACUUUUUCACUGGAGAACUGGUUUGAUUAUACAGUAACAAAAUCAAAUGUUUAAUUCCUAACUUUAAAAAAACUAUCUGUCUUAGGAAAAUUAAAAAUGGAAAUUUCUCAGAAAUAACAAGUACUCAUUCUCGUAUGGAUGGCUCUGCAUUUACAUCUUAUUUUCUCAAAUUUCUGUUAAAAUGUCUUACAUUUUUCCCAGUUUUUGUAAGUAAUUUGAAAUACAGUCAAAUUUUGACAUAAGUCAUCGAGUUCUGUUUUGAACUCUUUAUGUUUGCAUACCUUGAGAAAAAAUAAAAAUACUUUCUUUUGAAGCAGUGAACAUUAAAACAUAAUUUUAAAAGUUAAAAGUAAAGUAUGAGAAACUAAGAUAUUAUUAACUUUUUAUUGGUACAAUACGUUUUAAAAUGGAUUUACAUAAUUUUCAUCAAGAAAAAGAAGUGCAUGUUUCUUAUUGGAUGUAUUUUUAAUGAAAAAAAAAUCUUUGCAUCUUAAAACUAUUUGCAAAACAUGUCCAACUGAUUUUACCACUUACCCUCCUGUCAGCAUCAAAAAAAGUUUUCCCCUAAUCACUCGAUUCACUGAAAAUUGUUACUUUUAUUUAGAUUGAAUUUUUUAUUUUCCUUUUCCAAUGCAAUAAAAACAAAUACCAUCACUUUGUAAGUGACGUGUUGAUGUGAAAAUAGCUAAGUUAUUUUGACUUUAUAUUGCCUUUUAGUAAGUUAUUUGGGGGCAAGGGUGACUUCUUGAUCUCUUAAUCUGCUCUUUUGUUCUUUUCUUAUAUUUGCCUCUAUUUGCCUGAUUGAUGCUGUCACUGACUGGACUCCUUCAUUAUUUCACUUGU